ACGCUGGCGGCAGGCCUAACACAUGCAAGUCGAGCGGUAGAGAGAAGCUUGCUUCUCUUGAGAGCGGCGGACGGGUGAGUAAUGCCUAGGAAUCUGCCUGGUAGUGGGGGAUAACGUUCGGAAACGGACGCUAAUACCGCAUACGUCCUACGGGAGAAAGCAGGGGACCUUCGGGCCUUGCGCUAUCAGAUGAGCCUAGGUCGGAUUAGCUAGUUGGUGAGGUAAUGGCUCACCAAGGCGACGAUCCGUAACUGGUCUGAGAGGAUGAUCAGUCACACUGGAACUGAGACACGGUCCAGACUCCUACGGGAGGCAGCAGUGGGGAAUAUUGGACAAUGGGCGAAAGCCUGAUCCAGCCAUGCCGCGUGUGUGGAGAAGGUCUUCGGAUUGUAAAGCACUUUAAGUUGGGAGGAAGGGUUGUAGAUUAAUACUUUGCAAUUUUGACGUUACCGACAGAAUAAGCACCGGCUAACUCUGUGCCAGCAGCCGCGGUAAUACAGAGGGUGCAAGCGUUAAUCGGAAUUACUGGGCGUAAAGCGCGCGUAGGUGGUUUGUUAAGUUGGAUGUGAAAUCCCCGGGCUCAACCUGGGAACUGCAUUCAAAACUGACUGACUAGAGUAUGGUAGAGGGUGGUGGAAUUUCCUGUGUAGCGGUGAAAUGCGUAGAUAUAGGAAGGAACACCAGUGGCGAAGGCGACCACCUGGACUAAUACUGACACUGAGGUGCGAAAGCGUGGGGAGCAAAC
rnacentral:rRNA from 1 species